rnacentral:lncRNA from 1 species
UCUAUGUUUAGCUAUGGCAGCCAUCUUGGUUGGGUUUGCCGGGUCACCGGACACAUUUUUUAAACUAGAUACCCAAUGAUGAUUGUGGACAAGUUUGGUUUAAAUUUGGCCCAGUAGUUUCAGAGGAGAAGAUUUUUGUAAAAGUUAACGGCGACGGACGACAGACAACGACGGACACCAAGUAAUGAGAAAAGCUAAAAAAAUGAGUUAUUUCCCUUUGAACAGAAAUCUUGUAAUCAAUAAGUGUUUCAUCAAAAAUUUAAUUCUAGGGAAAGGGCUUUAACUGAAUUAGGAGAAAAGCUAAAAUCAUGAAAAUUGAACUUGACCUGUAAUUUG